ensembl:lncRNA
GUGUAUUUAAGCCCUGUGUUUCUCUUUGUCAGUGUCGUAGUCUCCAUCAUAGCGGUGUGAUUUUUCCCUGUGGCUCCUUGUGCUUUAGUUUUCCCAGUUUAGUUUAUUUUGUAUUGUUUUUCGUGUCCCACUCCACGCCAGCAAUAAAGCUGUGUUUUUUGAGUUUACCUUUUGUCUCUGUGAGUUUGCGUUUGGGUCCUUCUUCUGCCUGCCACACAGCCGAACCAUGACAUCAAGGGCAGGCGGUCAACACUGGGGGUAGACAAGAAGCAGACGUACUUCCAAGAGGGAGCUGCAGUGAGGACACAGCCAGGUCACUGAGGAGGCGCUGGAAGGUUUCCCUAAUAGUUCCUGGUGAAUCAAAGCAGAACCAUAAAGGUUGCUGGAUUGCAUGAUGGCCUUACCCCUGAGCAGUCAUCCUGUUAAAGGAGGAACCAGUUAGAAGCUGUUUUCAAAGUAGCUGAGCAGAUUUCAUCUCAACAGACAAAGCCGAUUGCAGAAGAUGUCAGAGAAGAACUUCAGGCCGUGGACUGAAAAGUAGAUCAAAGCAGCUCGUGCUCUUUCUGCUUCCAAUUUAGAAGAAGAAGAAGAAGGCGAAGGCUUCAGCAAAGUGGCGUUCAUGGUCUCAGUGAACAGUCACGGUCACACACUGCAUGUGGUUUUAAAAGCAACAUGUCUGUUCACUACAACGAUCGAGAUGUGUAAUAUUAGUGCAGCUAGGGUUUGUUUUUGAACAUCAGUUCUGUUUUCUACUUUGAUCACUUAGACCAAAAAAGUGUUGUUUUCAGAUUCUUUCUUUUAAAUCUAUAAAGCACCUGCUCAUUUUUUAUUACAAUUAGUUUCACAUAAAUGUUAGUUUUUCCUUUAUGAUCUUUUAAUGCUUACACUACACUGUACACAUUAGAGACAUUUCUGUUACCUGUUUCUGUUGACUCAGAGUUGUGAAAUGUUCUUUUAUUUAAUGCACAAUAUGAAGUUCAUAAUUUUCUUACAAAUAA